rnacentral:rRNA from 1 species
GACGAACGCUGGCGGCGUGCCUAAUACAUGCAAGUAGAACGCACAGUUUAUACCGUAGCUUGCUACACCAUAGACUGUGAGUUGCGAACGGGUGAGUAACGCGUAGGUAACCUGCCUGGUAGCGGGGGAUAACUAUUGGAAACGAUAGCUAAUACCGCAUAAUAUUGAUUAUUGCAUGAUAAUUGAUUGAAAGAUGCUAUUGCAUCACUACCAGAUGGACCUGCGUUGUAUUAGCUAGUAGGUGAGGUAACGGCUCACCUAGGCGACGAUACAUAGCCGACCUGAGAGGGUGAGCGGCCACACUGGGACUGUGACACGGCCCAGACUCAUACGGGAGGCAGCAGUAGGGAAUCUUCGGCAAUGGACGAAAGUCUGACCGAGCAACGCCGCGUGAGUGAAGAAGGUUUUCGGAUCGUAAAGCUCUGUUGUAAGAGAAGAACGGGUGUGAGAGUGGAAAGUUCACACUGUGACGGUAUCUUACCAGAAAGGGACGGCUAACUACGUG